ensembl:lncRNA
CAGGGGUGAGAUCGGGCUUACAGGGGUGGGAUCUGGGGCUCUGGGGUGCUGGGGUGGGAUCUGGGUUACCAGGGGUGAGAUCGGGGGCGCUGGGGUGAGAUCUGGGUUACAGGGGUGAGAUCGGGGGCGCUGGGGUGAGAUCUGGGUUAGGGGGGUGGGAUCUGGGGCUCUGGGGUGAGAUCUGGGGUGCUGGGGUGAGGUCUGGGUUACAGGGGUGAGAUCUGGGUUACAGGGGUGAGAUCUGGGGCGCUGGGGUGAGAUCUGGGGUGCUGGGGUGAGGUCUGGGUUACAGGGGUGAGAUCUGGGGCGCUGGGGCCAGCUGAAG